UUGACGAUUGUGAAACAUAUAUGUGAAACGGACUAAUCGUAGCCGUAAAAACUAUGAUAUUAUUUGCAAAUAUCAAUAUUUAAUUAAUUCAUUGUCAUUUAAUGUCAAUUCGAAAGCGAUGGUUAUUCGGACAUAUAAUGUGUAUUCCAAUACGAAGCAUAUUCGGAUUGCUUCAUGAUUAGCCAAUGGCUUGUUGUCGAACACAUGCUCUUCGCAUAGCCUUGUGCUUAUUAGUAAUUUUGAUAUUUUUACAAUAUAUGUAUGGCUCCCGACUUGGAGCUGUUGACAAUUUGAAUAUUACCAAUGUGUCAGCUCCAUCGCAAUGGCCAAAGCGGACUCACACAAGACCCAUUUAUUUAAGUACUGUCAAUAUCAGCACAACAGUGCCUGUGAUUUUAGGAAAUAUUUCAUACAAUAUAAACAGCACAAAUACCAUUAGCCACUUAAGUAAUAAUAAUUUAAAUAUUGAUGAUAAUAUAACUCACAAUAAUAUUAGUAAUAUGACUGUGAUUAGUCCAAGAGAUACAUAUAGUUACAAUAGUACACUUAAAAAUUCUAUAAUAUUAGUAAAACUUUCAAAUAAUAUGAGUGCUUUGAUAACUCCACAAUCUGUUGUUGAUAACAGAAUGCUAAAAUGCCCUCCGGUUCCCCCUAACUUAGAGGGUCCCAUAUCUGUGAACACUAAUCCUACGGAUAUAAAUAAAUUAACAUCAAAAUUGAAGCAUUUACUAAGUCCGGGAGGAUGCUAUAAUCCAAAGGAAUGUGUAGCAAGAGAUAAAGUUGCAAUUAUUGUACCUUAUAGAGAUCGAGCUGAACACCUAUCAAUCUUUUUGAAUAAUUUACAUCCUUUUCUUAUGAAACAGCAAAUAUAUUAUCAAAUAUAUAUUAUUGAACAAAAUCAAGGGUCAGUUUUUAAUCGUGCAGCUCUACUAAAUGUGGGCUAUGUGGAGGCUCUUAAAGAGCGGCAUUGGGAUUGUUUUAUAUUUCAUGAUAUUGACCUUCUGCCAUUAGAUGACAGAAAUCUGUACAACUGUCCAGAUCAGCCCCGACAUAUGAGUGUUGCAGUAGACGUAUUCAAAUACAAAUUGCCAUACUCAGAACUAUUCGGUGGUGUAUCAGCGUUAACCACUGAGCAAUUUAAAAUAGUAAAUGGAUUUUCUAAUAUGUUUUGGGGUUGGGGAGCUGAAGAUGAUGAUAUGGCUAGCAGAAUAAAACACCAUGGUUAUCAUAUCGCUCGUUAUCCUUAUGACAUAGCAAGAUAUUCUAUGUUAACUCAUGUGAAACAAAAAGCUAAUCCAAAAAGGUAUGAUGUAUUGAAUCAAGGAAAAAAAAGAUACGACUCAGAAGGGUUGAAUAGUUUGCAAUAUACUCGUUUAAAAUUAGAACAAAGAGCAUUAUAUACUUGGAUUCUGGUAGAACUCACACCUGCACAUGUUAGUUGAUGGAGGGCAUUGGCGCCUCGUUGGCCAGAUUAAGCUCUUUUGAAAUUUAUAUAUUGAAAACUAUUAAAUAGUUUCAAUAUUGCAAAUAUCUGCAUAGAAUGCGGAGUAGUUAGGAAUGAAAUAAUAAGAAUCUGAGUGGAUUUAAGAGAAUAUAACUAUAAUUUAAGUUACUUUUUAUGUGGCUGCUCAUGUUAAAGGUGCAAAGUUCGUGCUAUUUCCGUGAGAACAAAGUGCGCUCUCCCUUUGUCAAUAAGGGCAAGAUACAUUUCGUACAGAAUUGCCAAAGCUGUCAUUUGUUUACCACGGCUGAGAUCUAAGACCUGUUCCUCUGUACAACGAAUACCGAUCAGUAACAGCCAGCAGGCGACGCGCCGUUGGUUGGCGUACAUGUCGUU